rnacentral:tRNA from 1 species
GGCCCGGUGGCGGAGCGGCGACGCAAAAGGUCCUGCAAGACCUCCUUAGCCUGGUUCGAUUCCAGGCCGGGCCUCCA